rnacentral:rRNA from 1 species
GUCUGACAUCCCUGCCCUAAAGGCAUCAGAUCCCAUCUGAUUUUGGAAGCUAAGCAGGGUUGGUUUUGAAUACUACUUUGAUGGCAGACUGUUAAUGAAUACGAGGUGUUUCAGGCU